UACGUAGGUGGCAAGCGUUGUCCGGAAUUACUGGGCGUAAAGAGCGCGCAGGCGGCUGGUCAAGUCCGAUGUGAAAGCUUCCGGCUUAACUGGGAAAUUGCAUCGGAAACUGAUCGGCUUGAAGGUGGGAGAGGGUAGUGGAAUUCCCGGAGUAGUGGUGAAAUGCGUAGAUAUCGGGAGGAACACCAGUGGCGAAGGCGACUACCUGGCCCACUCUUGACGCUGAGGCGCGAAAGCUAGGGGAGCGAACGGG
rnacentral:rRNA from 1 species